UUGGGAGAUCCUGUACCAAUGUUGCUCACACUCAAAGAGUCUCUUGAGCAUCAAGUAGGCUCAUGCCUGGAUUUCUAAACCAACAGUUUUAACAUGGACCAAUUUUCAAGUUUUCCAGCCAUUUUUGAGAAGACCAACCAAGGGAAGGCAUAGGCAGUACCUUUGAGGAAAAGUUUAGAAAGAUUGUGAGUUUCUACCAGGCUUUCAAAGUGCUUCUAAGGGAUCUUUACUCUAAAGCUUCGUGUGUCAGUAAGAGAGCACAUCUGCCAGGCUGAGCAGACCAAGAGUUCAUCUUUAAUCUUCAGUUGCAGUCUACAACAGGUGAAUUGGAGAAGCUCUCACUGGAAAUCUUGAAGAAAUAAAUCAUGGAUUUGUCCAUGGCAAACAGUUCUUCCUA